rnacentral:rRNA from 1 species
AUUAAACGCUGGCGGCAUGCCUUACACAUGCAAGUCGAACGGCAGCACGGGGGCAACCCUGGUGGCGAGUGGCGGACGGGUGAGUAAAGCAUCGGAACGUAUCCUGGAGUGGGGGAUAACGUAGCGAAAGUUACGCUAAUACCGCAUAUUCUGUGAGCAGGAAAGCAGGGGAUCGCAAGACCUUGCGCUCUGGGAGCGGCCGAUGUCGGAUUAGCUAGUUGGUGGGGUAAAGGCCUACCAAGGCGACGAUCCGUAGCGGGUCUGAGAGGAUGAUCCGCCACACUGGGACUGAGACACGGCCCAGACUCCUACGGGAGGCAGCAGUGGGGAAUUUUGGACAAUGGGCGCAAGCCUGAUCCAGCCAUGCCGCGUGAGUGAAGAAGGCCUUCGGGUUGU